rfam:Clostridium sp. CAG:594 genomic scaffold, scf122
AUCGGUGACGAUAGCGAAGUGGACACACCUGUUCCCAUCUCGAACACAGAAGUUAAGCACUUCAGCGCUGACGAUAGUGUAAGCGAAAAUAAGACGUUGCCGGUU